GACAGCAGUAGCCGCGGUAAUACGGAGGGGGCUAGCGUUGUUCGGAAUUACUGGGCGUAAAGCGCACGUAGGCGGCUUGGUAAGUUAGAGGUGAAAGCCUGGAGCUCAACUCCAGAAUUGCCUUUAAGACUGCCGAGCUAGCAGGUGAGAGAGGUAAGUGGAAUUCCGAGUGUAGAGGUGAAAUUCGUAGAUAUUCGGAAGAACACCAGUGGCGAAGGCGGCUUACUGGCUCAUACUGGACGCUGAGGUGCGAAAGCGUGGGGAGCAAACAGGAUUAGAGACCCCAGUAGUCCCUGUCUCUUAUAC
rnacentral:rRNA from 1 species